AUACGGAGGAUCCAAGCGUUAUCCGGAUUUAUUGGGUUUAAAGGGUGCGCAGGCGGCCUUAUAAGUCAGUGGUGAAAUCUCCCGGCUCAACCGGGAAACUGCCAUUGAUACUGUAAGGCUAGAAUACAGACGAGGUAGGCGGAAUGUAGCAUGUAGCGGUGAAAUGCUUAGAUAUGCUACAGAACACCAAUCGCGAAGGCAGCUUACCAGACUGUAAUUGACGCUAAGGCACGAAAGCGUGGGGAGCGAACAGGAUUAGAAACCCCGGUAGUCC
rnacentral:rRNA from 1 species